GACGAACGCUGGCGGCGUGCUUAACACAUGCAAGUCGAACGGGUCUGCCCUGUUUUUUGCGGGGUGGGUCAGUGGCGAACGGGUGAGUAACACGUGAGUAACCUGCCCCUCACUUCUGGAUAACCGCUUGAAAGGGUGGCUAAUACGGGGUGUUCUGGCUGUGCCGCAUGGUGUGGCUGGGAAAGAUUCACUUUUGUGGUGUUUUGGUGGGGGAUGGGCUCGCGGCCUAUCAGCUUGUUGGUGGGGUGAUGGCCUGCCAAGGCUUUGACGGGUAGCCGGCCUGAGAGGGUGGGCGGUCACACUGGGACUGAGAUACGGCCCAGACUCCUGCGGGAGGCAGCAGGGGGGGGUAGUGCACAAUGGGCGGAAGCCUGAUGCAGCGACGUCGCGUGAGGGAUGGAGGCCUUCGGGUUGUGAACCUCUUUCGCCGGUGAAGAAGGUCCUGCUCUUUGUGGUGGGGUUGACGGUAGCCGGGUUAUGAAGCGCCGGCUAACUACGUG
rnacentral:rRNA from 1 species